GACGAACGCUGGCGGCGUGCUUAACACAUGCAAGUCGAACGGAGCGAAUGAAAGCUUGCUUUUAUGAGCUUAGUGGCAAACGGGUGAGUAACACGUAGACAACCUGCCGACAGGAUGGGGACAACAUUCCGAAAGGAAUGCUAAUACCGAAUGAAGCGGAGGAGAGGCAUAUCUCUUCCGUGAAAGAUGGCCUCUAUUUAUAAGCUAUCACCUGUCGAUGGGUCUGCGUCUGAUUAGCUGGUUGGUGAGGUAACGGCUCACCAAGGCGACGAUCAGUAGCCGGUCUGAGAGGAUGAACGGCCACAUUGGGACUGAGACACGGCCCAGACUCCUACGGGAGGCAGCAGUGGGGAAUCUUCCGCAAUGGGCGCAAGCCUGACGGAGCAACGCCGCGUGAGUGAAGAAGGUCUUCGGAUCGUAAAGCUCUGUUGACGGGGACGAACGUGCGAGAGGUGAAUAAACUCUUGCAAUGACGUACC
rnacentral:rRNA from 1 species